rnacentral:rRNA from 1 species
AACGAACGCUGGCGGCGUGGAUAAGACAUGCAAGUCGAACGGGACAGACCGAGUAGCAAUAUUUGGAAUGUUCAGUGGCGAACGGGUGCGUAACACGUGGAUAACAUUCCGGAAAGCGGGGAAUAGCCCAGGGAAACUUGGAUUAAUACCGCAUGUGGCCGCAAGGCUAAAGACGGGGACCGCAAGGCCUGUCACUUUCCGAUUGGUCCGCGGCCUAUCAGCUAGUUGGCGGGGUAAUGGCCCACCAAGGCUACGACGGGUAGGUGGGCUUAGAGGACGACGAGCCACACUGGAACUGAGACACUGUCCAGACACCGACGGGUGGCAGCAGUCGAGAAUCUUUCACAAUGGGGGCAACCCUGAUGGAGCGACGCCACGUGGAGGAUAAGGUCUUCGGAGUGUAAACUCCUGUCAUGCGAGAACAAGGUACUCAGGCUAAUAACCUGAUUGUUUGAUGGUACCGCAAGAGGAAGAGACGGCUAACUCUGUGCCAGCCGCCGCCGUAAAAC